AUGGAAGGGGUGACUGCACCAAUGUCACUGCUCGACGCUCUGCGCUCAAAACUUGUCAGGCUUGACUUUCCUUGUUGACGCAAUACACGGAGGGGAUGUGCCGCAACACUGCAGCUAAAGCAGGGAGGAUGUAGGCACUUGCACAGCCAUACCAGUGACAAAUGUAAUGGCUGCACCGCUUGUUUGGGUGGAACAAAAGCAGGGGGAUGUGGGCACUUGCACAGCCAUACCAGUGACAUGUAACCCAGUGGGCAAAUGUCACGUAAUUCACGUGGAAUACACGUGGAUCCUGCACGUGGAUUACUCAUGGAUAUUUGAUGGAAAAUGCAAAAUCGAAUUCACGUGAAAAUGAACACGUGGAAUACACGUGUACAAAUUCACGUGUAAUACACGGUAAUAUCUGGUGGAAUAAUCCAUGUGUUUAUUUAUCCGCUGCAUUAUCGUGCUCUGGUAAUCUGCAUGUCAUCAGUGCAUCCAGUCUCUCAGUAUAUGUUUCUGUAUCAUUUACGUAAGCUAUAGUCGAAUAGGCUAUUAUAAACAGAAACAUAUCCUUUACGAGACCGCACAUUGUUGACAGGCAGGCUGGUAGAGCACGAUAAUGCAGCCUUCACACUUGUUGAAUGCAACCAUAGUACUGUGCAAUUUCAGAAUACAAGGUAGGCAUGUAAAAAAUACAAGUAAUACAGAAAGUGUGUAUAUAUAUAUUCUUCAGUCUUACACUUUUUCAUAAAUUUAAUAAUCUUCAUCCUUGUAAAAAUAUCAAAACCAAAAUAAUUUCCAUAUUUUAUGAAAAAAAAAAAAAGUUAGUGCUUGCAUUUUUAUAUAUAAAGGCUUUCAAGAUAUCUGACUUGAAUGAAGAAUAACUGCAAUAUAUAAAUGGAUGAUCCCAGUAAUACAAAAAAUUAAAACUUUGUUUAGCCACAAUCCAUCCAUAGCCUGACACCUGCUCCUAUGCAUUACCUCCCCAUGCCAUGGUCCAGAACAGCAGAAACCACCCUUGAACUGUGAGGGUGACCAUCCGCCAUCCCGGGCCACGACUCAAUAAAUGGGUUCCCAUGGCACUUGUGCCUAGCAUUAUCCCUGGGCAUGUGCCACAAGUGGGACUAUAAAAGGUAGAGAAGAAUGGGCAGAUCCCCAGCCUAGUGUCACCCUAAACAGUAGAGGUAUAUAGAACAAGAGAAAGACAGAAAUGGCUAUGGGAAGUAAAGGACACCAACCCUCACUCUGACAAAGAGUCAGCCCACCACUCGGAAAAGUAAGAGAACGUAAAAGAAAAUGGACAGAAAGCAAAGGGAAAUGAGAAGGGAAAAUAUGUCAAGCGGUAAAAAGACCUGCUAUGGGCUAGUAAAAGAGAUCCCCACCCAGGGCCAGAAUCAGUCGCCUCUUACGGCACACAGCCGACAUGGAGAGGGCUACAUUCUAGUAUCUAUGUAGCCCCAGGGGGAAUAUAUGCAAAGAAUACCAGGCCUGCCACAAGUACACAAUAUGCUUAAAACAAUACAGACCACAGUUGUCAAUGAAAUUAAGCAUUUUGUGAAUUGAUACUUGUGUAGCUCCAUACUUUUUCAUUUACGUAAAAAUACAUGGGAACCUAAGUGGUAGGCAAAAGCAAAAUUAUAAAUUAAAAUGUUAUAUCUAUUACUAAAUUACAAAAUAAAUAACUGUUAAUAAUACUAGUUUGCUUUUAUAAUCUGAGAUCAUUAAUAUCAUCUCACAUAAAUAUCAUGAGGUAAUAUCCCAAUCGGUUCAAAUUUUACAGCAGUAAGUCUCUCUCCACAUCUUAAAACCAUUCUUAAGCUUGAAUCCCAUAACGACAAGUUGAAAGAACCAGGACCAGGUUAGCGUGGUGGCGGGAACAGCUUGUCUGAGGUUCGGUUCUCGGCGGUCCUGGUUCUUUCAUUCUUAAGCUUCUCUAACAUCCCCCCUUAUACUGUUUACACAUCAAUAAAUUUUGUCAUUCUGAUAGAAAAAGAGCUUCUUUAAGAGAGAGAGAGAGAGAGGGGGGAGGAAGGGAAAUGUACACAUAGUUACAAUAUAUAAGGUCAUCUGUGUACAAUCAGUCAUGAGAUAAAUUUACCAGCAUUUUUUUAGUAACAUACAAAAUGAAAAUACUUUAUCUAGUCAUGCAUGAGACAAAG